ACAAGUGAAUAAGUGCACAUGGUGGAUGCCUUGGCGAUAUCAGGCGAUGAAGGACGUAGUAGCUUGCGAUAAGCUGCGGGGAGCUGGCAAACGAGCUUUGAUCCGCAGAUUUCCGAAUGGGGAAACCCGGCCUUUUAGGUCAUCACAUACUGAAUACAUAGGUAUGUGAAGCGAACGCGGCGAACUGAAACAUCUAAGUAGCUGCAGGAAAAGAAAUCAACCGAGAUUCCCAAAGUAGUGGCGAGCGAAAUGGGAACAGCCUGCAAGAUUUAGCAUUAUUGAUAGCAGAACGCUCUGGAAAGUGCGGCCAUAGAGGGUGAUAGCCCCUUAUGCGAAAUCAGUAGUGUGGAACUAGGCUUGCGACAAGUAGGGCGGGACACGUGAAAUCCUGUCUGAACAUGGGGGGACCAUCCUCCAAGGCUAAAUACUCGAUAUCGACCGAUAGUGAACCAGUACCGUGAGGGAAAGGCGAAAAGAACCCCGGGAGGGGAGUGAAAUAGAACCUGAAACCGUGUGCAUACAAACAGUAGGAGCCUCCUUGUGGGGUGACUGCGUACCUUUUGUAUAAUGGGUCAGCGACUUACAUUCAGUGGCAAGGUUAACCGUAUAGGGAAGCCGUAGAGAAAUCGAGUCCGAAUAGGGCGUUCAGUCGCUGGGUGUAGACCCGAAACCAAGUGAUCUACUCAUGGCCAGGUUGAAGGUGCGGUAACACGCACUGGAGGACCGAACCCACUAAUGUUGAAAAAUUAGGGGAUGAGCUGUGGGUAGGGGUGAAAGGCUAAACAAACUUGGAAAUAGCUGGUUCUCUCCGAAAACUAUUUAGGUAGUGCCUCAAGUAUCACCAUCGGGGGUAGAGCACUGUUAUGGCUAGGGGGUCAUCGCGACUUACCAAACCAUUGCAAACUCCGAAUACCGAUGAGUGCGAGCUUGGGAGACAGACGUCGGGUGCUAACGUCCGGCGUCAAGAGGGAAACAACCCAGACCGCCAGCUAAGGUCCCAAAGAUUGGCUAAGUGGAAAACGAAGUGGGAAGGCUAAAACAGUCAGGAGGUUGGCUUAGAAGCAGCCAUCCUUUAAAGAAAGCGUAAUAGCUCACUGAUCGAGUCGUCCUGCGCGGAAGAUGUAACGGGGCUAAGCCAGUCACCGAAGCUGCGGAUAUGCAUUUAUGCAUAUGGUAGGAGAGCGUUCUGUAAGCCUGCGAAGGUGUCUUGUAAAGGAUGCUGGAGGUAUCAGAAGUGCGAAUGCUGACAUGAGUAGCGAUAAUGGGGGUGAAAAGCCUCCACGCCGUAAGCCCAAGGUUUCCUGUUCAACGUUCAUCGGAGCAGGGUGAGUCGGCCCCUAAGGCGAGGCAGAGAUGCGUAGCUGAUGGGAAGCAGGUUAAUAUUCCUGCACCGUCGUUAGAUGCGAUGGGGGGACGGAUCGCGGAAGGUUGUCCGGGUGUUGGAUGUCCCGGUUCAUGUAUCGAAGAAGGCUGUUAGGCAAAUCCGGCAGCGCAAUUCAAGGGUAUGUGACGAGUGGCCUUGUGCCGCGAAGCAAUUGGAAGUGGUUCCAAGAAAAGCCUCUAAGCUUCAGUCUAACGAGACCGUACCGCAAACCGACACAGGUGGGCGAGAUGAGUAUUCUAAGGCGCUUGAGAGAACUCGGGAGAAGGAACUCGGCAAAUUGGUACCGUAACUUCGGGAUAAGGUACGCCCUUGUAGUUUGACUGGCCUGCGCCAGAAGGACGAAGGGGUUGCAAUAAAUUGGUGGCUGCGACUGUUUAAUAAAAACACAGCACUCUGCAAACACGAAAGUGGACGUAUAGGGUGUGACUCCUGCCCGGUGCUGGAAGAUUAAAUGAUGGGGUGCAAGCUCUUGAUUGAAGUCCCAGUAAACGGCGGCCGUAACUAUAACGGUCCUAAGGUAGCGAAAUUCCUUGUCGGGUAAGUUCCGACCUGCACGAAUGG
rnacentral:rRNA from 1 species